rnacentral:rRNA from 1 species
AUUGAACGCUGGCGGCAGGCCUAACACAUGCAAGUCGAGCGGAUGAAGGGAGCUUGCUCCUGGAUUCAGCGGCGGACGGGUGAGUAAUGCCUAGGAAUCUGCCUGGUAGUGGGGGAUAACGUCCGGAAACGGGCGCCAAUACCGCAUACGUCCUGAGGGAGAAAGUGGGGGAUCUUCGGACCUCCCGCUAUCAGAUGAGCCUAGGUCGGAUUAGCUAGUUGGUGGGGUAAAGGCCUACCAAGGCGACGAUCCGUAACUGGUCUGAGAGGAUGAUCAGUCACACUGGAACUGAGACACGGUCCAGACUCCUACGGGAGGCAGCAGUGGGGAAUAUUGGACAAUGGGCGAAAGCCUGAUCCAGCCAUGCCGCGUGUGUGAAGAAGGUCUUCGGAUUGUAAAGCACUUUAAGUUGGGAGGAAGGGCAGUAAGUUAAUACCUUGCUGUUUUGACGUUACCAACAGAAUAAGCACCGGCUAACUUCGUG